UAGGGAAUCUUCGGCAAUGGAUGAAAGUCUGACCGAGCAACGCCGCGUGAGUGAAGAAGGUUUUCGGAUCGUAAAACUCUGUUGUUAGAGAAGAACAAGGACGUUAGUAACUGAACGUCCCCUGACGGUAUCUAACCAGAAAGCCACGGCUAACUACGUGCCAGCAGCCGCGGUAAUACGUAGGUGGCAAGCGUUGUCCGGAUUUAUUGGGCGUAAAGCGAGCGCAGGCGGUUUCUUAAGUCUGAUGUGAAAGCCCCCGGCUCAACCGGGGAGGGUCAUUGGAAACUGGGAGACUUGAGUGCAGAAGAGGAGAGUGGAAUUCCAUGUGUAGCGGUGAAAUGCGUAGAUAUAUGGAGGAACACCAGUGGCGAAGGCGGCUCUCUGGUCUGUAACUGACGCUGAGGCUCGAAAGCGUGGGGAGCAAACAGG
rnacentral:rRNA from 2 species